GCUGAAAGACGCGACCGUACUGCAAACCUUUGGGUCCGUACAAUAACGAACGGGCUUGGAGCCGAUAAUUGGGGAAUGUUGAGAGAGAGAGAGAGUGAGGAAGAAAGAGAAACAUCAACAUGAAAGAGAAACAUUGAUUGGCUGCCUUCUUGUACACACCGCAACAAGGAAUUGAACCUGCAACCUGGGUUCACAUAAAAUUAUGCCUCACCAUGGGUUGUACCUAGAGCCCUUGCAGAUACUGAUUUACAUGAUGAGAUUUGGCACUUCUGAGCUGGUAAGAUUUGGUUGAGAUUCUGGUGAGUUGGUGCUGUGAUGGAUUAAGACAUUUGGAGGAGACUUCCAGCCAAGAUGGAGGCGUAGGUGGAAUCACUGUGCCUCCUUGCACAACCAAGUUUAAAGACAACAAAGUUUUAGUAACAAAAAUGCAGCCAAAACACUUAAAAUUGAACUAUAUGGAAGUCCGAUGACAACAAACCAUUCAACCAGACUGGUAAGAGGGGCGGAGUCAGCGGCAGAGUGGGGUUGGGCAGGAAAGGUUGGUGGACCCACCCAGGAGCGCAGGUGGCAGUUGGCAGAUCCCAGGCGUGGGGUGGCAAUGGGUGGACCCAGUGAGGGUGCAGGGUGGCUGGCUAACUGCAGUCACACAUUUGAGCGCAGAUAAACCAAGCAAAGGAGCAAACAGUGAGAGACACUGCUCAGGCUAAGG